CCCCUCCCCUCAGCCCUCACCCCCCUGUCACCCUUCCCCCCCCCCCUUUUUUUUGGGCUCCUUCCCCUCAGCUCUUACCCCCCACACACACCUCAAACCUUGCCCCCCCCCCCAGUCUCCCCCUCACCUCACCCUUUUUUAGGGACCCCCCCGGGGGCUUUCCUCACCUCAAACCCUGCCCCCCCCUCACCUCAAACCUCUCCCCCCCCUCACCUCACCCCUUAUUUUUUUAGCCCCCCCCCGGCCUUCCUUCACCUCCAACCUCACCCCCCCUCACCUCAGCCCCUUCCCCUCCCCACCCCGGCCUCCCCUUCCCCUCCCCUCUCCCCCUACCCCCCCCCCACCAUUUUUUUUUUCCUUUUUUCACCCUCCCCCCCCCCCCCCCCCCCCCCCCCCAAACCUGGUCCGGCGAGCCGGACAGACAGACACAGACAGACAGAGAAGGCUCUCGGGAGAGGCGGUUACUGGACCUUUCGUCCGGGCCGUGGUGGUGGAGCGGCGGCCGGGGGAGGCUGCAGCUGCCGCCGUCCUGGUGGUGGUGGUGGCAGGACGGAGCUGGGGGGGUGGCGGGCGGGCCGGGGGGGGACGCGGCGGCGGCGGGGGGGACACUCGGGCUCUCCACGGCCAUGGGAAGGGGGCUGCGGGGUCGUUUUGUGGCUGAGGGGGCGGGCGGUGAAGGGGGAAGGAGGGAAAAGGGGGGGGGCAACAGUCACUGUACAGGGCCGGGGGCAGCGCGGCCCGCGGUUCGCCGCCCGCCCCGCUGGCCGCGGGGACGGUGCACAAAAUGGCGGCCGGCGGCACGCAGCCGCGCCGAGGCAGCGCCCCGCCGGAAAGAGCCGAGCGGAGGCGGAAAGAGACGAAGUUGGCCGAGGAGGUGGGGGGGGGGGGGGAGGCGGAAAGAGCCGAAGUUGGGGGGAGGUGGAAAGUGACGAAGACGGAAAGAGCCGAAGGGCGGGGGAAAGGCGGGAAGAGCCGAGCGGCGGCGGAAAGAGCCGAAGUUUGCCGAGGAGGUGGGGGGGGGGGGGGAGGCGGAAAGAGACGAAGUGGUGGGGUGCAUGGGGGGGGGAGGGGGGUUGA
rnacentral:lncRNA from 1 species